UAAGGAAUAUUGGUCAAUGGACGCAAGUCUGAACCAGCCAUGCCGCGUGAAGGAUGAAGGUCCUCUGGAUUGUAAACUUCUUUUAUCUGGGACGAAAACGGGAUUUUUAUCUCAAUUGACGGUACCAGAGGAAUAAGCACCGGCUAACUCCGUGCCAGCAGCCGCGGUAAUACGGAGGGUGCGAGCGUUAUCCGGAUUUACUGGGCGUAAAGCGCGUGCAGGUGGUUUCGUAAGUUGGAUGUGAAAGCUCCUGGCUUAACUGGGAGAGGUCGUUCAAAACUGCGAGGCUUGAGAGUGGUAGAGGGAGGUGGAAUUCCGGGUGUAGUGGUGAAAUGCGUAGAUAUCCGGAGGAACACCAGUGGCGAAAGCGGCCUCCUGGACCAUUUCUGACACUCAGACGCGAAAGCUAAGGUAGCAAACG
rnacentral:rRNA from 1 species